UUUCUGACUAGAUUGUUGUCUAGUGUUCUCCUAAUAGAAGCUUGGUAUAAUGUUUUCCUUAUCAAUAUUUGAGAAUAAUACGAGUAGCAGAAAAUACUAUUUGCUUUUUAAACAUUUGAUGAGUUUCACCUAUAAAAACAUCUGGACACAAUUUUUUUCUCUUUCAUGUCAUCUUUGUGGCUUUAUUUGUAUUGUUUCAUGUUCAGUUAGUCUGAAUAUUUUGUACUUUUGUGGGUAAUUCUCUAUUUUUGAACCCACAGGUUUGUUAUAAUAUUUAAUGUGUUUUUCAAAUUUUUAAUAAUAUGCAAAUGCUAAUUAUUAUUAAUUAUUAUUGUUGGAUGAAUUAGGCCACUAACCUGUUAGUAUAUAAAUGUUUAUAAAAAGGGGAAGAUAUUUCGAAAAAGUGACCAGUGAAAACAAGACCUAGAGAGCAACCAGGAGGCACAGUAGACAGAGUACUGGAACCAGGAAUUCCUGCCUGCAUUCCAAUCUAGCUUCAGAUAUUUACCUUCUGUAUGAUGAUGGGCAAGUCAUUUAACCCCAAUUGCCUCAAAAACCAAACAAAAAACCUACCAAUGAAUUAGAAGAGGAAGUAUCAUAGGAAAUAAGACAAAAAAGUGACUCUCUUCCCCCUUACUAUUACUAGAAUCCAGGUAGUUCCCCAUUUGAGACACCCAGAGAAGAAGAUAAUAGUUCUGUGUAAUGUGACCCUGCUACCUGGUCUCCCCUGACCUCUCACAUUGCAAAAAAAACAGCAGAAAUGACUGGGAAAGACUCGUCAGAGGCAGGGUUAAGAGUGGUGACAGAAGUGAGAGAGGAAUGGAAAGAAUUACAGGGCCCAACUCUCUUCUCACAGAGCCAGCUAGGAGGCACAAGAAAAAGGGCAUUGGAAAUAGUCAGGAACAUCUGAGUUCAAAUCUGCUCUCAGACAUUUAUUAAAUGGAUGAUCCUGCCCAUAGCCCUGAUUACCUGCUUCUUCAUCAAUAAAAUGGGGAUAAUAAUAGCACCUUGGUUGUUAUAAGAAUACAUGAAAUAAUGUUUCCAAAGCACUCUGGAGAUCUUAAAGCACUAUAUUUAUUAGUUCUUAUCUUUUCUGCCACACUCUAAACUCCUGGAAUUCAGAGGUCUUGUCUCAUACAUCUUUUUUAAUCUCUUCAAUGGACCUUAGAAAUAGUCAAAUGCAUAGUUUGAGAAAUGGAUGGAGAGAUGAAUGAUGCAGACUUUAAGUCUAUCUUUCAUUAGAUAUUAGUGCACUCCUUAUUGCUAACCCUCUCUCUAUUCAAGUAAGAGAAGCCCUCUCUUUUGUGGUUUUUAGUGAUCAUUUUAAACAAUUUAUUUUAUUUAUAUUGAUAAUUUUCAAUUUAGUUAUCUUAUAAAUUUAUGGUGAAGGAAAUAAAAAAGGAGAAGUGACUCAAGUAUAAAUAAAAUAUUAUUUUGAUGCCUAUUCCCUCAGUCUUUUCUUUCAGUCCAAUUUACAAAAUGCUAAUAGCAGAGUCAGGCAAAGUAAGACUGCAGAAGGCUCACUGGCAGAAGGUUUGCAAGUUUUAAACCCUAGCAAAUGAAUACUAUCUCUCUCAUUUCCACCAAAUAUAAGCCAAAAUUUUGGGGGAUUUCUGUGUACCCCAAUACCCUAUUCUAUCAAGUACCUUCAGAGAAACCUGCUUCCUUCUAUCCAAUAAAAGAAGACAGUUAAACUCUUUCUGGGAGAAAAGAUAUCAUCAGGUAACUUUGACAGAAACAUUCAGUUUUAUUUGACAUUUGGGAAGGAGGGAGUUUGUAAGUUUUGUUGGUUUUCUUGAGUGUGGCAGCAGACUUGUGAUUUCAUUUGUACAGGGAAUUCCCAGAUGAGGAAACUCCCUUGAAAAACGUCUAUCAGUUUCCUAGAGCACUGGGAAGUGACUUGCUCAGGGAUAAAAACCUAGUGGAUAUUAAAAGCAGAACUUAAAGCUGCAUUUCCUGGCUCUAAUACCAGCCCAUUUCUUUGUGGGUUGUAUAAUCAGGAAAAAAAGAAAAAAAAAAAAAAAAGAGUGCAAUUUCCUGCCUAAAAUGGGAGGCACCUUUCUCAGAAGGGGUGGAACAAAAGCUGAUUGAGGCCUUCUACUAAAACAGGCCCUCAAAUCUCUCAUAUGUGACUGACGUUUUUAAACUGCUAUUAAUUAACCAAAAGAAGUCACACUUAAACCAGGCGUGGAGUCUCCCUCCUCAUACACCUUGCUUUUUCAAAGCCGUAUUUUGCUUUCUGCCAGACUCUGAGAGGCCAGUGUCUGCUGCUGCAGUUGCUUCUACCAAAGGAAGAAUCUCUGAAUAAUGUGAAAUGUGAGCAUUUACAAGAAAUGGAAACAUACUGGUUAUGAACAAUGAAGUCCAGGAACAAGUGAUGAUGAGGGCUUUGAGAAACAACUACAACUGGAAGAAAGAAAAAAAUUGGCACCUAAUUAUAUAAGUGGGCAAGAAGACUAUAUUCUCUUUAUCGAUGUUUCUUUGAAUUUGAAAGGGUUACAUGCUGAAGAACAUGGAUUCUAUUUUUAUUAUAAUGGUUAUUGCUAUUCCUGCUGCAUUUAUUUUUUGUCUUUUAUUGCGUUGUUUUUUGUGCCCCAAGACUCCACAUAAUACCAGUCAGAAGCAUAAUUCAUCAGGAAUUUGUAGUCGUGGGGGAAGAAAUGAUUUUUGGGGAGAACAUAAUGUUUGUGGAAGAGUUGAUUACUGGGGAGGAGGUGAUGCUUUUGGAGGAGCUCAUUCCUGGGGAAGAGAUGAUGAUUAUAAAGCAGAUGAUUCCAGGAGAGAUGGUAAUUUUUGUACAAUAGAUGAUUCCUAUGGAAGAGAUAUUACUUGUGGAGGAAAUAAUUCUUGGGGAGGAAAUGAUGCUUGUACAGGAAGUGGUUCUUGGGGAGGUGGUCAGGCUUGUGAAAUAGAUUACUGUGGGGGAGGUGAUGCCUUUGGAGGAGGUGAUUCUUGUGGAGGAUGUGAUUAUGGGGGAGGAGGUGAUGCUUGUGGAGGAGAUGAUUAAUGAACAAAAGUAAUUCAGGGGAAGGAAAUGAUUAUUAUAGCUGACUGACUUGAACAAAAUGUUACCUUCUGUCUACCAGUGGCCCACAUCUUGUACCUAAUGAGCUUUCUUUGGUUCUUAUUUUCUUCUGGGGUGAAAAUUCAGUAUCAAGUCAAAAGAGUCCAUUUGAGCAGGAGAAAUCCAUUUUUAUAAAAAGAUGGGAUAUCUAAGUAUGAAGAAUAACAAAACUCCUACAUUGUGAUAAAUCACAUGUAAACAAAUAAUGGGCCAAAAAGAACUAUAGGAAACUUGGAAUUGUGACCAAAAUAUCAAGAAUCCAUACACUCUUUUUAAGCAAAGCAGAUAGAAAGCUUUAUUUUUUUUUGAAGGAACAAAGAAAUAAAACAUUAUUCAUUUGGGAUAGAAUGAAUUAUUUGCUACAGUUUUUCUGAGGAGAUAUUGUACAGAGCCCUUUCCCAAAAUGUUUUCUGAAACAAUGAGGUCAGAGAAUCUCUUUUUAGAUUGUGAUAAACACAUGAUAGUCUAGAUCAGUGGUUCUCAAACUUAUAUCUUUAUCCUAUUAAAAACGAUUGAGGAUCUGUCCAAAGAGUUUUUGUUUAUGUGGGUUAUAGUUUAGAUAUUGAUCACAUUCAAAAUUAGGAACUAAUUAUGAAUUUGUAGACUCUCUGAAAGGAUUUCAGAGAUUCCCAGGCUGCUCUGGACUAGACUUUGAGAACCACUGCUCUAGAUCUAUUUGGCAAAAUAAGCCUCAGCAUCAAAAAAAAUCUACCCAAAAUUUUUGAAGGACUCUGAAGAUUUUUUUUCCCCUCUGGGAAAUGUAAUGGUAAAUGGCAAACAUGCUAGAUUCAGGGAACAAAUAGUUUCUGAGGGAAUCCUAGUAGCUACAGACUUCAUGUCAAGUCAACCAUGAGGAUCACAGAGAGAACUUAUUGAGAUCCUAUACUUCUUUCAAGACAAUACUCAUGUUUCCUCUUCCAUGAAGUGUUUUUGAUGAUUGCAACUGAAGGUAUCUAUUCCUGUUCAAGUUGUAGAAAAAUUUGUAGAGAGUCUUUUUUUCCUUUAUGCAUUUUUAUUUUAUGCAUACUACUUGUAUUAUAUGCAAUUCUAAGUUGUAUUAUGCUUAUUUGAAUUUUUGUAACACAAAGCAUGAAAUAAUUAAAAAAUAAUGAACAUUUAAUUCCAUUGAUCUUACAACCUUUAAUAUUUUAGUGAAAGUAAAAAUGUACAAUUAAUAUUACAUGUAAUCAUGCAAAUAUAACCAUUAAUAUUACAUGUAAUGCUCACCAUUAGUGAUAGUAAAAUUAACGUACCAUUAAUAAUAAGUCAAAUAAUUUUAAAAUAUUUUAAGUCUAUGCUUAUCUGAUUCUUUUAAAAUCUUAAAAAAAUUGUAUUUAUAUAUUGAUAAUGCUCUUUAUUUUUAAUAAUACAGGUACAUACAUAAUGUUAAAGCUAUUAAUGCCUAAAAUUAUGCUUAAACUUUUGAGACCUCUUCUAUAAUUUAUUUAUAAUGAAAAAAUGACUGAAUAUAAAUACAUUGGGAAAGCAGAUUUGCCAUUUUUUUUUUUUUUUUUACUGAUAAGGCUGGGCAAUUAGCAAAGUUCAGAAACUACUAUCGUAGACAUGGAAACUAACAAGGAAAAUAAAGAUCCAAAUGUGAAUUCAUAAAGGAAUAGAAAUCCAGUUUUUGCCCUUACCACAGCUUGUAUUAUACUUACAUAGUCAUUGCUGUUCCACAUCUCAUAGAUUAUAAGCCUUUUAAAAAUAAGAAUACUAUCUGGUCCAUCUUUGAGACCACCAACAUGUAAUAGAUGCAUCUAAUUGGUACUUAAUUUUAUUUAAUUAUUGAAUUUCAUCACUUAGCAUUCAAAUAAGAAUUGAAUUAGGUGAAUACAUUGCUCAGUUUUGUCUAGGAAAACACAUUUUUGCAUCUGAAAUUUGUUGAAGGAAAGAGAAGAAGAAUCAUAGGGAUUUUAGGCCUGCAUUUGGAAAAGAGAGAAUAAAAGAGAACCUACUGUCUCUCCUUUUCUCUUUAUUCUGCCAAGUGAUUUCUUUUCUAUACUGAUAGGAAAAAAAGGACUAGAAAAAGAAAUAAUGAGACUCCUGAGACACUAUGAUUUUGUCAGGAAAAAUAUGAGAGUAUAAGAGAAGAUUGGUGUGUCCAGUAGCUUAGAAAAGGGUUAGAAUUAUUCCAUAUUCAUGUUUGAGCCUUGUAAUAAUUUUGCAAGUAAUCUAACAUGAGAUUCAAUGUGGAGCUGAGAAAAGAAUUUUCUUACCAUGUAUAGAAAUAACAUAAAUGAUUGGAUUAAACAUCAAUGAUUCUAUUAUACAUUGAAUAUCUUUAAGGAUAAUAUGUAAUCAAAUUCAUUAAAUUAUUUUUAAAACAUAAAAA